rnacentral:rRNA from 2 species
CCACCACCAAAGCAUUUGCUGUACCGCGUUGACGGAGCGAAGCGACGUCAAACCGAUAAAACAGCAGUGUAAAGUGAGCCGCAGGGCGCUUUGCGCGACAGCGCAAAGGCAGGCGGUUUCGCGUAGCGAAAGCGAAUGCUUUGGGGUGGGGUGACUGCGUACCUUUUGUAUAAUGGGUCAGCGACUUAUAUUCUGUAGCAAGGUUAACCGAAUAGGGGAGCCGGAGGGAAACCGAGUCUUAAUUGGGCGUUAAGUUGCAGGGUAUAGACCCGAAACCCGGUGAUCUAGCCAUGGGCAGGUUGAAGGUUGGGUAACACUAACUGGAGGACCGAACCGACUAAUGUUGAAAAAUUAGCGGAUGACCUGUGGCUGGGGGUGAAAGGCCAAUCAAACCGGGAGAUAGCUGGUUCUCCCCGAAAGCUAUUUAGGUAGCGCCUCGUGAAUUCAUCUCCGGGGGUAGAGCACUGUUUCGGCUAGGGGGCCAUCCCGGCUUACCAACCCGAUGCAAACUGCGAAUACCGGAGAAUGUUAUCACGGGAGACACACGGCGGGUGCUAACGUCCGUCGUGAAGAGGGAAACAACCCAGACCGCCAGCUAAGGUCCCAAAGUCAUGGUUAAGUGGGAAACGAUGUGGGAAGGCCCAGACAGCCAGGAUGUUGGCUUAGAAGCAGCCAUCAUUUAAAGAAAGCGUAAUAGCUCACUGGUCGAGUCGGCCUGCGCGGAAGAUGUAACGGGGCUAAACCAUGCACCGAAGCUGCGGCAGCGACGCUUAUGCGUUGUUGGGUAGGGGAGCGUUCUGUAAGCCUGCGAAGGUGGCCUGUGAGGGUUGCUGGAGGUAUCAGAAGUGCGAAUGCUGACAUAAGUAACGAUAAAGCGGGUGAAAAGCCCGCUCGCCGGAAGACCAAGGGUUCCUGUCCAACGUUAAUCGGGGCAGGGUGAGUCGACCCCUAAGGCGAGGCCGAAAGGCGUAGUCGAUGGGAAACGGGUUAAUAUUCCCGUACUUGGUGUUACUGCGAAGGGGGGACGGAGAAGGCUAUGUUGGCCGGGCGACGGUUGUCCCGGUUUAAGCGUGUAGGCUGGUUUUCCAGGCAAAUCCGGAAAAUCAAGGCUGAGGCGUGAUGACGAGGCACUACGGUGCUGAAGCAACAAAUGCCCUGCUUCCAGGAAAAGCCUCUAAGCAUCAGGUAACAUCAAAUCGUACCCCAAACCGACACAGGUGGUCAGGUAGAGAAUACCAAGGCGCUUGAGAGAACUCGGGUGAAGGAACUAGGCAAAAUGGUGCCGUAACUUCGGGAGAAGGCACGCUGACACGUAGGUGAAGUGAUUUACUCACGGAGCUGAAGUCAGUCGAAGAUACCAGCUGGCUGCAACUGUUUAUUAAAAACACAGCACUGUGCAAACACGAAAGUGGACGUAUACGGUGUGACGCCUGCCCGGUGCCGGAAGGUUAAUUGAUGGGGUCAGCGCAAGCGAAGCUCCUGAUCGAAGCCCCGGUAAACGGCGGCCGUAACUAUAACGGUCCUAAGGUAGCGAAAUUCCUUGUCGGGUAAGUUCCGACCUGCACGAAUGGCGUAAUGAUGGCCAGGCUGUCUCCACCCGAGACUCAGUGAAAUUGAACUCGCUGUGAAGAUGCAGUGUACCCGCGGCAAGACGGAAAGACCCCGUGAACCUUUACUAUAGCUUGACACUGAACAUUGAGCCUUGAUGUGUAG